GAGGAAGGUGGGGAUGACGUCAAGUCCUCAUGGCCUUUAUGUCCAGGGCUACACACGUGCUACAAUGGCCGGUACAAACCGCUGCAAACCCGCGAGGGUGAGCCAAUCGGAGAAAGCCGGCCUCAGUUCGGAUUGCAGUCUGCAACUCGACUGCAUGAAGCUGGAAUCGCUAGUAAUCGCGGAUCAGCAUGCCGCGGUGAUACGUUCCCGGGCCUUGUACACACCGCCCGUCACAUCACGAAAGUGGGUUGUACUAGAAGCAGGUGAGCUGACCGCAAGGAAGCAGCCUUCCAAGGUGUGAUUCAUGAUUGGGGUGAAGUCGUAACAAGGUAGCCGUAA
rnacentral:rRNA from 1 species